rnacentral:rRNA from 1 species
AGAGUUUGAUCCUGGCUCAGAACGAACGUUGGCGGCGUGUAUUAGGCAUGCAAGUCGGGGGAAUCCCCGCAAGGGGGGAACCGGCGUAAGGGGCAGUAAGGCGUGGACGACCUACCCCGCGGUCCGGGAUAGCCCGUCGAGAGACGGGGUAAUACCGGAUGACGUGGCGACACCAAAGGCUUGCCGCCGCGGGAGGGGUCCACGUGGUAUUAGCUAGUUGGUGGGGUGACGGCCCACCAAGGCGACGAUGCCUAGCGGGUGUGAGAGCACGACCCGCGCCACUGGCACUGGGACACUGGCCAGACACCUACGGGUGGCUGCAGUCGAGGACCUGCGGCAAUGGGCGCAAGCCUGACCGAGCGACGCCGCGUGUGCGACCGAAGGCCUUCGGGUUGUAAAGCACUGUCGAGGGGGAGAAAGCCGCAAGGUUGAUCUAUCCCUGGAGGAAGCACGGGCUAAGUUCGUGCCAGCAGCCGCGGUAAUAC